UUUUUUUUUUUUUGGGGGGGGGGAUAGUUUCAGAAAGAUAGGUGUUAAUUCCUCUCUAAAUUUGAUAGAUUUUGCCUGUGAAGCAAUCUGGUCUUGGAAUUUUUGUUUGUUGGAAGUUUUCUAAUCACAGUUUCAAUUUCACUGAAACUGAUUGGUCUGUUCAUCUUUUCUAUUUUGUCUUGGCUUAGUCUUAGAAGACUGUACGUUCCUAAGAAUCUGUCCAUUUCUUCUAGGUUGUCCGUCUUUACUGGCAUAUGGUUGCUUGUAAUAGUCUCUUAUGAUCCUUUGUACUUGUGUGAUGACUGUUCUAAUGCCCCCUUUUUGAUUUCUAAAUUUAUUGAGUCCUUUUUCUUGUUAACCUGGCUAAGGGUUUAUCAAUUUUGUUGAUCUUUCAAAGAACCAGCUUUCAGUUUCAUUGAUUUUUUUCCUAUGGUUUGUUUCUAUUUCAUUGAUUUCUGCUUUGAUCUUUAUGAUUUCUUUCCUUCUGCUAACUUUGGGUUUUGUCUGUUUUUUUCUCUAGUUGUUUUAGGUGUAAAGUUAGGUGGUUUAUUUGAGAUGUUUCUUGUUUGCUGAGGUGGGCUUGUAUUGCUAUAAACCUCCCUCUUAGAACUGCUCUUGCUGCAUCCCAUAGGUUUUGGAUUGUUGUAUUUUUUAUUUCCUCUGAUUUCUUCAGUGAUCCAUUGGUUGUUUAGUAGCAUGUUGUUUAGUCUCCACAUGUUUGUGUUUUUGCUGUUGACAGUCACAUAGUGUUGUAGUGAGAAAAUAUGCCUGAUACGAUUUUAGUUUUCUUAAAUUUACCAAUGCCUGAUUUGUGGCCCAGAAUGUGAUCUGCCCUAGAGAAUGUUCUGUGUGCACGUGAGAAGGAUGUAUUCUGCUGCUUUGGGAUGGAAUGUUCUAUAAACGCUAUUAAAUCCAUCUGGUCUAGUGCAUCAUUUAAGGCCUGUGUGUCCUUGUUGAUUUUCUGUCUGGAUGAUCUGUCCAUCGCUGUAAGUGGGGUGUUCCAGUUCCCCGCUCUCAUUGUGUUACUGUCAGUUUCUCCCCUUAAGGUGGUUGGCAGUUGCCUUAUAAGUGAGGUGAUCCUCUGCUGGGUGCAUCUAUAAUUGUUACAUCUGUUUCUUGGGUUGAUCCUUUGAUUGUUAUGCAACGUCCUUCCUUGUCUCUUAUAAUAGUCUUUAAGGCCUCUCUUGUCUGGCAGGAGGAUUGCUCCUCCAGCUUUCUUUGGAUUUGCAUUUGCCUGGAAUAUUGUCUUUCAUCCCCUCACUUUGAAUUUGUCUGUGUCCCUAGAACGGAAGUGGUUCUGUUGAAGACGGCACACACGUGGGUCUUGUUUUUGUAUCUGUUCAACCAGUGCAUGUCUUUUGCUUGGGGCAUUUAGUCCAUUUACAAUCAAGGUAACUACUGAUGUGUGUGUUCUUAGUGACACUUUUAUUGUUUUGGACUUGUUUUCAUUGGUCUUUUUUCUUCCCUUCUCCUCUUGUGGUUUGAUGACUGACUUUCGAGUUGUGGGUUUGGAUUGCUUCUUCUUGUUCGUGAGUGUAUCUAUUGUGGAUUUUUAGUUUGCGUUACCGUGAAGUUUUGGUAUUAGGAAUGUAUGAAUACACACACACACGAUGAAGUUGCUGGUGUCUUAACUGCAGGUGCAUCUCCAGCAUCCUCCCUCGAGCCCUGCUCGUCUCGUGAUCCCUGGUUUUGGCAGCAUCUGUGUGUGUGUGGGUGAUUUCCUGCAUUUACCACGUUGAUGCCUUUACCGGUGAGCCUUAUCCCUUGUAAUAUUUGUGCUUCUAGGUGUGACUUUUUCUUUUCCCCCUAGAGAAGGUCCUUUAGUAUUUGUGGUAAAGCUGGUUUAGUGGUGCUGAAUUCUCUUUGCUCCUGCUUGUCUGCAAAGCUUUUGAUUUCUCCUCCAAAUCUGAGUGAGAGCCUUGCUGGGUAGAGUAAUCUUGGUUGGAGGUUUUUUUCCUUUCAUCGCUGUAAGGAUCUUGUGCCGCUCCCUUCUGGCCUGCAGAGUUAUUUUCUCUCUUUCCCUGGCUGCUUUCGGUAUUUCCUUUCUGUCUUUAAUUUUGGUCAGUUGGAUUCAUGUGUGUCUGGGAGUGUUCCUCCUGGGGUUUAUUUUCUAUGGCACUCUUGUGCUUCCUGGAUUUGAGUGACUGACUCCUUUCCCGUGUUAGGGAAGUUCUGAGCUGUGAUGAGUGGGCCCAGAUUUUCCCAAAUGACCACCGCUAGAGGCGUUCACAGUGAUGAGCAUCCCGAGACCUUUGCCUCCAGAGCCCUUCCCCCCAACGAGCCACAGUCACACCCGGUUUUCCCAGGAGACCCUCCAAGAACCACAGGCAGGUCUGACCCCGAUUCUUGUGGAGUCUCUGCUCUGCCCUGGGACCCAGUGCACACGAAACCCUGUGUGCACUUUUCAGGAGUGGAGUCUCUGUGUGCCCCAGUCCUCUGGAGCUCCCACUGACCCUCAACCCCAAAUGCUUGGGGGGCUCCUCCCCCCAGUGCCGGAUCCCCAGGCGUGGGCACCUGACAAGGGGCUCAGAACUCUCACUCCCGUGGGUGAGCCUCUGCGAUACAGUGCCUUUCUAGGCUGUGGGCCGCCCACCCGGCUGGCAUGGGGUUGCUUAUACCACAGAAUGGCCCUCUUACCAUCUCAGUGUGGCCUCCUCUUUGUCUUCUGGAGUAGGACAUCUUUUUGGAUGGUUUCCAGACUGUUUUGUUGAAGGUUGUUCAGCAGUUGGUUGUAAUUUUGUUGCUUUUAUGACAGAAGGUGAGCUCUGGUCCUUCGACUCUGCCAUCUUAAUCUCGUCCGACCCGCUUUAUACUUUGGGCAUAUAAAGAAUUACUGCAUCUUUCUGGUAUGUUAAACUUUUCAUUAUGAACUACGAUAGUUCUGAUUCUGCUUUCAUCCUAAAACACAGUAUCUAAUAUUAAUAGAGCAGUACUAGCUUUCUCUUGGUUAGUGUUUGCAUGCGCUCUUUGAAUCCUUUCCUCUUGAACUUGCUAGAUCUUCCUUGUAUUUUAGCUGUGUCUCUUGUGAACAGCCUAUAGCUCGGUUGUGUUUUUAUCCAGUCUGGUGAACUGUGUAUUAACGGGUGCUCUGCUUCCUGUCCUUUGGGUCUUCAGUAAACAAGUCCACUUGUAAUCGUCAGUUAUGCUGAGGGCGGUGGGAGGAAAGAGCAGGAGGUGGUGACGAGGCCGGUGUGUGCGGGGAGAGGGGCUUGCCGGGCAGAGGUUGCUCUGUGCAUGAAGGACCUCAGCCCGGAGAGAACGUAGCAAUUUCAAGGAUGAAAACCAAUGGCCAGCAGGCAUGAGUGCAGUGAGCCAGGUGGAGGGGGUGCUGCCCGUGGACGGAGGCUGCCCAAGGAGGGAGGUGCUGCCAUGGGUGCUGCCAAGUAUUGGGGUGUGUGUUGAAAUGUGUUGCAUGAGAAAAUAUACCAGGAUUUCCAAGACCUGGGGGGAAAAAAGGUCAGCUCUCUCAGCAAUUUUUAUUUUGAUUUCGUGUUACAAUAUUAUUUGGAUAUACUCUACUGGGUUAAAUAUAUAUAUAUUGCUUUUUAGGGCUGCACUUGCAGCAUAUACAAGUUCUCAGGCUAGGGGCUGAAUUGGUGCUACAACUGCUGGCCUACACCACAGCCAUACUGGAUGCUCAACCCACUAAGUGAAACCAGGGAUCGAACCAGCAUCUUCAUGGAUACUAGUCAGGUUUGUAACCUGUUGAGCCACAACGGGAACUCCAACAUUAAUUUCACUUUAAAAAAAUUUUGCAGUGUGGCUACUAGAAGUAUAAAGUAACACCUGCAGGUCACAUUCGCAGUCUGCAUUGUCAUUUUUCUGGAGGGUGCUGAAUAUUGCAGUGGUUUCAUGUGGGGGUGGUAUGCAAAUCACGAGGCCCUUGGCAAGGGGCAGAUUUCAGGGAACCCAUGGGACACCAAGAGGUCAGUGAGAAGGCAAUGCCUCACCUGACAGAGCGGGAGAGACAGCGGGGAGAGAGGCCGAUGGCAUCCACACGUGUCUUGGAGGGUAUGUCGCAGGCUCCUGCUCCUGAGCCCCUGGGAAGGAGCCUGUGGCCAUGUCCUUGUCUCCUGUGUGUGCCACGUAAGUAUUUGCCUCCGUCUCUUAGCACAUGUUGGUAACUGUGCCAACCAGAGAGCCACCCACUGUCACCUUUAAGAUACGGACAAACCCCUCACCUGAGCAUUUAUACGAAUCAUGGGAACAGUUCAAUUUUGAGCUGGAGGGCAAGGGAUCUAAUAUCCAAUGUCUUGAUCGAUCCAUCAAGAGUUUAGCUCCUUGCACACGUUCAAUAGUUAAUACAACUUCGUUGGUUAUUAAAGCUCUGCUUAUUUUUUUACAUAUGCAAGUAUAUUUAUUGCAGCACCGAAACAGUCUAUACCUCCGUAAGACACUGGUUAAAUUACAGUGUAUAGACACACUGGAAACUACACGUCAUAGGUAAAGCGUGAGGGUGCUUUCUGUGCAUGAACACGGGACGCUCCGAGGCGUGCUUAAGUGAAGAAAGCAAGACGCAGGCCCUGUGCUGCCGACGCAGAUGCUCUGAAAGGCGGGUGGGUGGAGGAACAGCUCCGGGAGAAGAGGCCGCCCUGUCCCACUGGUUCCCGCAGGGAGAGUCGGGCUGGCUGGUGGAGCAGAGCGGCUGGGACAGGUUGCCUUAUACCCUUUCCGUCGAUGAACCUCUGCCCCCCCGACCCCUUUUUUGCUUUUUAGGGCUGCGCCUGGAGCAUGUGGACAUGAGGACAUUCCCAGGCUAGGAGCUGAACGGGAGCUGGAGCUGCCGGCCUACGCCAGAGCCAUGGCCACGCCAGAUCCGAGCCACGUCUGCGACCUACCCCCCCAGCUCACGGCAUCGCUAGAUCCUGAACCCACCGAGCGAGGCCAGGGAUCGAACCUGCGUCCCCAGGGAUGCUAGUCAGAUUCGUUUCUACUGAGCCACCACGGGAAGGGUUUGCCCUCUCCUGCCGGAGUCCUGGGAGUGGGCGAUGCUGCUCACUCUGUGACCAUGACAGAUGGUCUCCUGCGUGUGGGUUCCUCUCUUUGUAAAACUGCACUUGACUGCGACAGAUCCACGUGUGAUGGUUUGAAAAAUGAACAAGUCCCAGGUUUCAGGAGAGAAAGAUCUCCGUAUAACCAGUCUUUGUAAAGAGGAGACACAGGAAAGCUGUGGGCCAGACGCUAAGUGUAGGCAGGAAGGGCCGGGGCCCCAAAUGGAGAGAGUGCGAGUGCUGGGGUCACCUUCAGCAUGGCCCCGGGACUCACGAGGAUGGGGUUCCCACUCUCACUCGGCCUCCGACCGUGACACUGACAAGUGAACUCAAUCCUCAAAACAAGCCCCCCCCACCCCCGUACAGAUGGGGAGACUGAGGCACAGAGACGUUAACGUGCGGAGGACUCAAGAUUUCUCAGCCCUCGGCGAACCCAGUAUUAAUGUCAGUUCUUCAAAAACUGGGAGCGCCCAUUGUGGCCUAGCAGGUUAAGAACCCAGCAUAGUGUCGGUGAGGAUGGGCUUUUGAUCCCUGGCCUCGCUCAGUGGGUUAAGGAUCCGGCGUUGCUGUGAGCUACGAUCCAAGUCGCAGAUGUGGCUUGGAUCCCGAGUGGCUGUGACUGUGGUGUAGGCCAGUAGCUAAAGCUCAGAUUCAACCCUGAGCCUGGAAACUUCAUAUGCUGCAGCUGCGGUCAUACACAGAAAAACAACGGCAACAACAGCAAAAAAAAAA
rnacentral:lncRNA from 1 species